rnacentral:rRNA from 1 species
GGGUCAGUAGGUUGGUCGUGCCACCGGUACGUACUGGUCUCACUGAUUCCUCCUUCCUGAAGAACCGUAAUGCCAUUAAUUUGGUGUUGUGGGGAAACAGGACUGUUACUUUGAAAAAAUUAGAGUGUUUAAAGCAAGCUAACGCUUGAAUACAUUAGCAUGGAAUAAUGAAAUAGGACGAUCGAUCCUAUUUUGUUGGUUUCUAGGAUUGACGUA